AGCUUUGCGCAGUGGCAGUAUCAUAGCCCAUGAGGUUUAUCCGAGGCAUGAUUAUUGCUAGUUGAAAACUUUUCCCAAUAACCCCCGAAAUGAUGACUUGAAAUACAGUCAGCAUUGGCAAUUUUAGAUAGUCUCUGAGGAGA